rnacentral:rRNA from 1 species
CCUACGGGAGGCAGCAGUGGGGGAUAUUGCACAAUGGGGGGAACCCUGAUGCAGCGACGCCGCGUGGGUGAAGGAGUGCUUCGGCAUGUAAAGCCCUAUCGGCAGGGAAGAAGCAAGACGGUACCUGACUAAGAAGCCCCGGCUAACUACGUGCGAGCAGCCGCGGUAAUACGGAGGGGGCGAGCGUUAUCCGGAUUCACUGGGUGUAAGGGGAGCGGAGACGGCCAUGCAAGCCAGGGGUGAAAGGCCGGGGCCCAACCCCGGGACUGCCCUUGGAACUGGAUGGCUGGAGUGCGGGAGGGGCAGGCGGAAUUCCGGGUGUAGCGGUGAAAUGCGUAGAGAUCGGGAGGAACGCCGGCGGCGAAGGCAGCCUGCUGGACCGCGACUGACGUUGAGGCUCGAAAGCGUGGGGAGCGAACAGGAUUAGAUACCCUUGUAGUC